UACGGAGGGUGCGAGCGUUGUCCGGAAUCAUUGGGCGUAAAGGGCGCGUAGGUGGCGGGACAAGCGUGCGGUGAAAGCCUGGGGCUCAACCCCGGGUCGGCCGUGCGAACUGUUUUGCUUGAGCACUGUAGAGGCAGGCGGAAUUCCGGGUGUAGCGGUGGAAUGCGUAGAGAUCCGGAAGAACACCAGUGGCGAAGGCGACGUGCUGGGUUGCAACUGACGCUGAGGCGCGAAAGCGUGGGGAGCAAACAGG
rnacentral:rRNA from 1 species